UUAGAGUUUGNAUCCUGGCUCAGAUUGAACGCUGGCGGCAGGCCUAACACAUGCAAGUCGAGCGGUAGAGAGAAGCUUGCUUCUCUUGAGAGCGGCGGACGGGUGAGUAAUGCCUAGGAAUCUGCCUGGUAGUGGGGGAUAACGUUCGGAAACGGACGCUAAUACCGCAUACGUCCUACGGGAGAAAGCAGGGGACCUUCGGGCCUUGCGCUAUCAGAUGAGCCUAGGUCGGAUUAGCUAGUUGGUGAGGUAAUGGCUCACCAAGGCGACGAUCCGUAACUGGUCUGAGAGGAUGAUCAGUCACACUGGAACUGAGACACGGUCCAGACUCCUACGGGAGGCAGCAGUGGGGAAUAUUGGACAAUGGGCGAAAGCCUGAUCCAGCCAUGCCGCGUGUGUGAAGAAGGUCUUCGGAUUGUAAAGCACUUUAAGUUGGGAGGAAGGGCAGUUACCUAAUACGUGAUUGUUUUGACGUUACCGACAGAAUAAGCACCGGCUAACUCUGUGCCAGCAGCCGCGGUAAUACAGAGGGUGCAAGCGUUAAUCGGAAUUACUGGGCGUAAAGCGCGCGUAGGUGGUUAGUUAAGUUGGAUGUGAAAUCCCCGGGCUCAACCUGGGAACUGCAUUCAAAACUGACUGACUAGAGUAUGGUAGAGGGUGGUGGAAUUUCCUGUGUAGCGGUGAAAUGCGUAGAUAUAGGAAGGAACACCCAGUGGCGAAGGCGACCACCCUGGACUGAUACUGACCACUGAGGGUGCGAAAGCCGUGGGAGCAACC
rnacentral:rRNA from 1 species